GACGAACGCUGGCGGCGCGCUUAACACAUGCAAGUCGAGCGAUGAAAUUUCUACAGAUCCCUUCGGGGUGAAGAUGAAAUGGAUUAGCGGCGGACGGGUGAGUAACACGUGAGUAACCUGCCUUAGACAUUGGGAUAGCCUCGGGAAACCGGGAUUAAUACCAAAUGAAAUCACAUAUGCACAUGCAUAAAUGAUCAAAGCUCCGGCGGUCUAAGAUGGACUCGCGUCCCAUUAGCUAGUUGGUGAGGUAACGGCCCACCAAGGCGACGAUGGGUAGCCGGCCUGAGAGGGUGAACGGCCACAUUGGAACUGAGAAACGGUCCAAACUCCUACGGGAGGCAGCAGUGGGGAAUAUUGCACAGUGGGGGAAACCCUGAUGCAGCGACGCCGCGUGAGCGAAGAAGUAUUUCGGUAUGUAAAGCUCUAUCAGCGGGGGAGAUAAUGACGGUACCUGACUAAGAAGCCCCGGCUAACUACGUGCCAGCCGCCGCG
rnacentral:rRNA from 2 species